rnacentral:rRNA from 1 species
UACGAAGGGGGCGAGCGUUGUUCGGAAUUACUGGGCGUAAAGCGCACGUAGGCGACUACUAAGUCAGGGGUGAAAUCCCGGGGCUCAACCCCGGAACUGCCUUUGAUACUGAUAGUCUCGAGUCCGGAAGAGGUGAGUGGAAUUCCGAGUGUAGAGGUGAAAUUCGUAGAUAUUCGGAGGAACACCAGUGGCGAAGGCGGCUCACUGGUCCGGUACUGACGCUGAGGAGCGAAAGCGGUGGGGAGCAGA